rfam:Clostridium sp.CAG:217_53_7 isolate CAG:217_53_7 Ley3_66761_scaffold_29090, whole genome shotgun sequence.
GCGAGAGUGGCGGAAUCGGCAGACGCGCACGUUUGAGGGGCGUGUGGGGUGACUCGUACGGGUUCAAGUCCCGUCUCUCGCA